rnacentral:misc_RNA from 1 species
AAAUUAGAGUUUGGUGCUGGCUCAGCUUUCAUGCGCCGAGCGGUGGUUUAUACACAUGCGAGCUUAAAAGAUUAAGGCCACGAGUGCGUAAUACGCGAGUU